CUGUGGCGCCGGGUACGCGCCGCGCGCGCCCCACGCCGCCCCGCCCCCACAGCCGGGCUUUGGGGCGGGGGCGUCGCGCUGGGGGCCCAUUUUCUAGGGGUCUUGCCGUGUCCUAGUCUCCGUCAUCGUCCCUGUCGCCCUCACUAGGGUACCUGAACCCCGCGGGACCACCUCACCGGGUGGCUUGAGGCUACAAAGGCCCUCAGGAGGUACCCAGGAGUGGAAUUUCUACCUCCUAUGGUCCGUCUGUGUUUAGCUUCUUGAGGAAUUGCCAAGCCAUAAUACACUUUAAAGACAGGGAAAAAAAUCUACGUUACCAAACAAAGAUGUUCAGACCUUCAGGAAGGAUGAUUGCUCAGUUUUAUAAAAAUAAAUAUGUAACUAAUAAUAAAAUUAACAGUUACGAAAACAAAUGCCAGAGGGAAGAAAAAAACCACCAAACUAUUUCACAGUGGCUGUUUCUGCUUGACCACACAUGCCCACAGAAUUUGACUUUGAUGACGAGCCAAUGGCACCAAAGGACUCCCUGAUUGACCGGAGACGUACCCCAGGAAGCUCAGCCCGGAGCCAGAAACGAGAGGCCCGUCUGGACAAGGUCCUUUCAGACAUGAAGCGACAUAAGAAGCUGGAGGAACAGAUCCUUCGUACUGGGGGGACCUCUUCAGCCUAGACUCAGAGGACCCCAACUCCACCAGCCCCCAACUCCGGUCCUCCGGGAGUAGUCUCUUUCCCCGGCAGCGGAAAUACUGACUGCUACUGCUGCCUCUAGGUGUACUGUUUGUACCUGCUGGGGCCUGGGCCCUCCUUUCCUAACACAGAAUGCUGGGAAACUUGGGAAGAAGAGAGAAACCCCAAGUUCCUGGCACAGCACCACGUGGGAAAGAGGGAGUGUGUGUGUGUGUGUUUUCUGUUGAACUUCUAAUCAGAGACCUGGACUGAGUUUUCUGAGUCUAAAAUAAAAGAUGCAGAGUUAU